AUUGAACGCUGGCGGCAGGCCUAACACAUGCAAGUCGAGCGGAUGAAGGGAGCUUGCUCCUGGAUUCAGCGGAGGACGGGUGAGUAAUGCCUAGGAAUCUGCCUGGUAGUGGGGGAUAACGUCCGGAAACGGGCGCUAAUACCGCAUACGUCCUGAGGGAGAAAGUGGGGGAUCUUCGGACCUCACGCUAUCAGAUGAGCCUAGGUCGGAUUAGCUAGUUGGUGGGGUAAAGGCCUACCAAGGCGACGAUCCGUAACUGGUCUGAGAGGAUGAUCAGUCACACUGGAACUGAGACACGGUCCAGACUCCUACGGGAGGCAGCAGUGGGGAAUAUUGGACAAUGGGCGAAAGCCUGCUCCAGCCAUGCCGCGUGUGUGAAGAAGGUCUUCGGAUUGUAAAGCACUUUAAGUUGGGAGGAAGGGCAGUAAGUUAAUACCUUGCUGUUUUGACGUUACCAACAGAAUAAGCACCGGCUAACUUCGUG
rnacentral:rRNA from 1 species